rnacentral:rRNA from 1 species
AUUGAACGCUGGCGGCAGGCCUAACACAUGCGAGUCGAGCGGAUGAAGGGAGCUUGCUCCUGGAUUCAGCGGCGGACGGGUGAGUAAUGCCUAGGAAUCUGCCUGGUAGUGGGGGAUAACGUCCGGAAACGGGCGCUAAUACCGCAUACGUCCUGAGGGAGAAAGUGGGGGAUCUUCGGACCUCACGCUAUCAGAUGAGCCUAGGUCGGAUUAGCUAGUUGGUGGGGUAAAGGCCUACCAAGGCGACGAUCCGUAACUGGUCUGAGAGGAUGAUCAGUCACACUGGAACUGAGACACGGUCCAGACUCCUACGGGAGGCAGCAGUGGGGAAUAUUGGACAAUGGGCGAAAGCCUGAUCCAGUCAUGCCGCGUGUGUGAAGAAGGUCUUCGGAUUGUAAAGCACUUUAAGUUGGGAGGAAGGGCAGUAAGUUAAUACCUUGCUGUUUUGACGUUACCAACAGAAUAAGCACCGGCUAACUUCGUG